GAUCCUGGCUCAGGAUGAACGCUAGCUACAGGCUUAACACAUGCAAGUCGAGGGGCAGCAUCAUCAAAGCUUGCUUUGAUGGAUGGCGACCGGCGCACGGGUGAGUAACACGUAUCCAACCUGCCGACAACACUGGGGUAGCCUUUCGAAAGAAAGAUUAAUACCGGAUGGCAUAGUUUCCCCGCAUGGGAUAAUUAUUAAAGAAUUUCGGUUGUCGAUGGGGAUGCGUUCCAUUAGG
rnacentral:rRNA from 1 species